rnacentral:rRNA from 1 species
UGGGGAAUAUUGGACAAUGGGCGGAAGCCUGAUCCAGCAACGCCGCGUGAGGGAUGACGGCCUUCGGGUUGUAAACCUCUUUCAGCACAGACGAAGCGCAAGUGACGGUAUGUGCAGAAGAAGGACCGGCCAACUACGUG